UAAUGUGUGUCUCCAGCUUCAGGAUGAUGAACCCACUCACUGCUCCUCUUCUUGGCCUCUUUCUGCUAUUGCUCCCCUAAGACUAUGGAGUCUAUCCAAUCUUGUCCAGUGAUAAAAAACCCUGGAGAGACUCUCAGUCUAUCCUGCAGAUGGUCUGGCUUCACAUUUAGUGGCUAUGAUAUGCACUGGAUCAGACAACCUGCAGAAUUAAAGACCUGCAGUAAAUCAGAAACAAACACACUGCAGACUGAGCAGAGACAAAUGGCUGCUACAAUGAUCAGACCUCAUCAGGUUGUGAUUGCUUUUCUCAUCCUGACAGUUAACUGGACAGGUACUGAUGGUCAAACAUUGACUGAGUCUGAACCAGUGGUUAAAAGACCUGGAGAAUCCCACAGACUGACCUGCACAUAUUCUGGGUUUAGUAGCACUCCUUACAUAGCUUGGAUCAGACAGGCAGCUGGAAAAGGACUGGAGUGGAUUGGUAGGAUCAGCGAUGACAGCAGGUACAUCAGGUACUCUGAUUCUGUGAGAAACCGGUUCACCAUCUCCAGAGACAACAGCAGAAGUCAGGUGUAUCUGCAGAUGAACAGUCUGACAGCUCAGGAUUCUGCUGUUUAUUAUUGUGCUCGAGAGCCACAGUGACACAGAAAGCAGAAACACUGAACAACAACUCUGCAGUGCAUGAAAAGUUUUAACACUAAGCCAACCCCUGGGGGAGCACUAACACCAUCUAUGUGUCACAGCAAACA